rnacentral:lncRNA from 1 species
CUAACAAGAUAUGGGAUACAAAGGUAACUUGGAAAUGUCACGUUCCUCGCUACUACCACGGUCCAGCUAGUCAGGGGAUAUCUAUGAGUACCCUAGCCUAAACACCACGUUUACGCCAGCAAUGAUUACUCUAAUACUCAACCGGAAGAGGAUUCAAGUAAACUCAUAAACCAAAGAACAAUAAAACAAGAACUUACUAGCAUUAGAAGUCAAAUUACUGAAGAAUCUUAGAAGCAAGCCUCGGGUUAGGAGACUUGAUCCUGUAGGUACAACUCGGAGUAGACACCGACAGGCCGGCCUUCCUCCGAUCCACACCUCCACUCUAUCUCUCUCAAUCUAGUAGAAACUAGAAGAUCUAUUUCUACUUUACAUUGGUUUCUAAGCCUAAAAAGAAAUAUUAUUUAGAGAAGAGGUAUUCCUUCGAGGGCACCCCUCAAUCUCUAUGAUAAUUUCUUGUCUUCUCCAGGGGCCAGGGGGGUCUCCUUAUAUAGUCCUCCCCUUCUAUGCGUUUUUGGGUCGGUAGGCGAGGUGGUACUAUGUUAUUCUGAAUCCAAUAGGUCGGUGGAGAUCUCCCGAGAGAAAGAGUCCUGAUUGGGCUCGGCAGGUGGGCGGGCGCCCAAGGAAACUGGGCGGGCGCCCAGGUCCUGGCCCCGUUUCGCCUCCGCUUCGGUCUCGUGGCUUCUGGAGUCUUCUAGAUGGUAGAAAAUUGCGCGGUACGUUGAUAUCUCUAUGUAAUCCUGACAUGUGGGCCUUUCUUCCUUAUUUCCUGAUAACCCCCUGCAGAAAUAGACAAACACCAAAACUCGUGGAAUUCUAUCAGAUAAAACCCUAAGUCUAGAUGUUGAUUUCAUUUGGAUCCUUUUCUUUGUUUAUUUGAUAAUUAAAUUUGAUACUUAAGGACCGUCAACAAACUCCCCCAAGCUUACCUCUUGCUCAUCCCUGAGCAAGGAUGAACUCAAGAGUUUCUGCAGUGGUUUCAUGCUUUAAAAGUACACACGCAUUCAAGCAAGAUCUCAUCUCUGAGUUAGAAUAAACUGGUAAGACUUAAAACUUACUCAUUUUACCUUUCACCAUGGGGCUUGUAACCGUCACUUGUGUCUUGAGCAGUUAAAAGAUAGAACGGUCAAGUCAAGCGCCAUGUCUCUUAUUCUUGAUCAGCUAUAGCUCUGGAGUUUUUACAGAUUUUUAAAUAAAACUCAGAGAUUCCUUAUAUGACUCUCUCAGAUCUCUCUUUUGUGGUAUUUCUGGAUCCUCACUAAGGCAGUACUGGUAUAUGCCUUCUCUCAAAGUAUGUAGUAUUUAUGGUAUGAGGCAUAGUGAUAUUGCCUUUUCUCUCACCCUACUCUAAUAAGGUUUUGAUAUCUGGAGCUCAUAGGUGGGAGACAGAUAAUACAUACUUACAAGACAUUUAUUGCAUAGUCAAACCAUGGAUCUAGAGAAACAAGUCAUUAAGUCAAAUCAAGAUGUGCAUGUGUGGCGAAUGAAUGGUGUAUGGUGAUGAUGAUGAUAAUAAUGGUGAAAGUCUAAUUCUACUUUUGCUCUUUUGAGGGGAUACAUACCUUUCUUGCACUUUGAACCUUUUUUGGGAUAAUGAGAUGCUCUAUAUUUUCUUUUUUUCUUUUUCUCUCAGGUGGGUAUCUUGUACCUCUAAUUCUACUGUCGGACACUUGUCCAUUUUUACCUCUCGUCUCACUUUUUCUUUUCUUUCGAGGUUCCGGACACUUGCCCCUUUUUAUUUCCUCGUAUUUUUCCUCUUUUUUUUUUCCUUUUUUUAGAGCACUCAUCUCCUUAAAUAAUAUAGCAAGUGGUAGUAACCAAGAUAACUCGAGCAUUUAUUUCACACGGAAUAACAGGGAUAGAAAAAUAUUUUUGGCUAUUCUCUCCCGGAUUAGGAGUAGAAUAAUUUUGGGUGAAUGUGGAGAUGGAAAUGAGUGGAUAUAUGUGGAUGGUACUUCCGGAGUAGAAGUAGCAUGUAUGAGUGAACGUGCAAGUGAAUCUUGAUUUUAACCACAUGACAAGCUCCUAAGGGUCUACACAGCUUGACCACACUCAAUGCUCAUAAGCAGUAAAAAGUAAAUAUGUGGCUCAAAGUCUAGCAAGCAUGUAUAUAUGGCUGUGGUAGGAAUUUAAACUCUCAUCAUAUAGGAACUCAUCAUGUGUUAUUUUAAAGAUUUUUCAAAGAUAAAAUUCUCCAGAAUUCUAGCAUCUCUAGGAACAGAUAAACAGCAGCUCAACCUUCCCAUAUCAUAUCCGUUAACAACUUAGACUUUAGAUCAAGUACUCUUCCCACAAGUUUAGGUUUAGAGCAAAUCUUACUUCAUAACAGUUAUGCCUAAACUUGAGAGAGAUUUCAAUUUUAAGAACUAGUCAUGGCAGAGCAACUAUUCAUCAUUUCCAUGUGAGAGCUUAUCAUGAGGGUUCAUAGCAAACUUUAUUUAUUUAGCAAACUAAGCAAAAUUAUAUAAAAGCACAAAAUCUUUAUUUGGGUUUUCAUGAUUAUGCAUCUUUUAUUAUUUGAGUAAAGUAUAAACACGAGUAGAAACACUUAGCUAGAUAAAUGGGGGUGCUCUCCCCCAAGCUGGAUUUUGACGUAAUUUCUUCUGAUGUAGCUAGCAGGUGGCAGAGGUGUAUUUGAAAGUCAGCAGCAUUCUGACAGCGAUUAGAAUGUCCUCCGUCUGCUAAUCUUCUAGAUUCUUAAAUUCUGUGGAGCUCAAAUAGACAACAAAGCUUUGUGGAACUGGUUAAGUGUUAGCAUAAAAUCUCUUUGCCUUCAUAUUGAGCUUCCUCAAUAAAUAUUACUUAUUUAGCAGGAUCAUGCACUUAUUAUUUUUAUAUUUUUAUUGUAAGAUAAAAACUUAUUUAUUUUAUUUUUAUGCCACCACAGUGAAUGUACUUAUGAGUUUUAUGCCAUGAGCAUACUCACAUGGGGCUUACUAUUUUUUUAACAUUUUUAUUAUUUUUUUUUCAAGAUAGCAUGAACCUGAUUAACUAAGCAAACUAUAAUUGAAUAAUUGAAAGGAAAAGGAUAACUACCAAGUUUACCUCUUGGCAAGACGUUCGGUCUUUUUAAAUCCUCCGAAUGGGACUCCUUGUGUUUUCAGUCGUUCUGGGAUUCGCUAGGUAGCGUAGUCGGUGGUUCCGGCGGCGCCUCCUCUUCGUGUAUAACUAUCUUCUCCCUCCACACCUGACUCGGUGCUACGGUCUCCUCAGGACAGUUCUGUUCAAGCUGUAUGUCUUCAGUCCUUAUCACUUUUCCUUCGUAGUCUACCCAUCCGUUCUUGAUGAUUUGCCUCCUCUGGUUUCGGUUGCGUCGUCUUCUUGUCCUGACCUGCUUAGAGUCUUCAACUAUAUAGUUAAGGUCAGUAAAAUAGCGGCAUACCUUCUGUUGGGUAUUCUUAACAUCAUUACUAAAAGUAGACUAAGUUCUCUAAAUCUAGUAACGGUGCCAAAAAUGCCAAACCUAUCCCUCACACCACUUAAGCCAAGUUGUCAUCCCCAGCAUGAUAUGAGAGACGCGGUAUUGAAAUAUGCAAUUGCUCUUCUAAAUAAAUAAUGAAUGGGAUCUGCAAGCGCACAGAUUAAUACCGAUGUAGCAUUUUAACCGGAAAGUAUUCCAGGUAUCGUUAUUUAUAUUUUUACCACUGGGAAGGGAUUAGCAAUCAUCACUAUUGAUUACAGAAUAGAAUAUGAGAUUGAGCAUCUAUCAUUGCAUGUAUAAUUGAGAACAUUGUAUCUAACUCAUCAUACAGGGAUAAGUGUCACAUAAAAGAUAUAUGAAAUAAUAAUAGUGACAAGGAUAACUAAUCUGAUCUAGCCACAUAAUAAAUAUGAUAAGCACCUCAAUUAGAUACUCUAGAAAGUCAUUAGCAUGGUAUUAGAACGAACUACAAGAAUAUUCCCUAAGUUAUUCUCAACUAUAUAGUCUAGCAUUAUCAUAGUUAGUGCAAGCAUACUUAGCAAUCAUUGCGAGACAAGACUACACCCAUGCAUAGUGAUAUUAGCAAGGAAUAUGAGAAACAUAGCAAUCACUCCCCUGUAAUAAUGUUGCUCUGCCAGCCCAAUACACGAGAGGGGGACUAUAUAAGAAUCAAUGAAGCUGUCACUAUCACGAACCACCCCACGAUCUGGCAUAUUGGGUACAAUCGCAGAUAAAUACGGUAUAAGCACCACGCCUACACAAUAUCUAUCAUUUACCCAUGGAUCCGAUGGAUAAACGCUAUACGAUCCUAAGCAUGUAUAUAGAUCGAAUCUAACUAAGCCAAGUACAUAACUAUGAUAAACUAAGAACAAUAUAAUCUUGAAUAUAAGCAAGUAGAGCAAAGUCAUAAGCAAUAUAUUGAAGUAGAACAAAGUCAUAUUCAUAAUAUUGAAGAACAAAGAUAAUUAAAGUAAUUAGAAACACAAUUAGAGAAUUACCAAGAAUCCUCUUGACAGAUCCGGAAACCAAUCGAAGAUUGACUCCUUCUAGUUCUAAUCCUAUGUAGCUAUGCUAAUCUAGAUAUCUAAUUGAUGUGGUGGCUCUAAUCUUGAUCAGAGGCUUCUUCUCCCUUGAUGGAACAAUGAAUUAGGGUUGAGAGGCUCUCUCCACCAGGGGCCAGGGGGUCUGGUUUUAUAGUCCCUUCAAAUGAAUAUGGGCCCUUGGAUCAAACCGACAUAGAUUGUAUGGUUUAGAUUCAUCCUUUAGGUCGGUGGAGAUCUCCCGCAAAGCAGAGUCCUGAUUGGACUCAGGAGGUGGGCGGGCGCCGUGACCAACUGGGCGGCCGCCCAGGGUCUGGCCCCGUUUCGCCUCCGCUUCGGUCUCGUGGCUUCUGGAGUCUUCUAGAUGUAAGAUAAUUGCGCAGCACGUUAAUACCUUUACGUAAUCCUCACAUGUGGGCCUUUCUUCCGUAUUUCCUGAUAACCCCCUGCAGAAAUAGACAAACACCAAAACUCGUGGAAUUCUGUCAGAUAAAACCCUAAGUCUAGAUCUUGAUUCCAUUUGGAUCCUUUUCUUUAUUUAUUUGAUAAUUAAAUUUGAUACUUAAGGACCGUGAACAAACUCCCCCAAGCUUACCUCUUGCUCGUCCCUGAGCAAGGAUAGACUUAGCUAUGGAUCAUAAGUUGUUGCAAUAUCUUUUAAAAAUUUUACGGUACACAUGCUUUUUAAAUAAGAUCUCAUCUCUAAGUUAGAGUAAACUGUCAAGACUUAAAACUUACUUACUUUACCUUCACCAUGGGACUUGUAACUGUCACUUCUGUCUUGAGUGGUUAAAAGAUAGAACAGUCUAGCCAAGUGCCAUGUCUCUUAUUCUUGAUCAGCUAUAGCUCUGGGAUUUUUGCAGAUUUUCAAAUAAAACUCAGAGAUUCCUUGUAUGAUUCUCUCAGGUCUCUCUUUUGUGGUAUUUUUGGAUCCUUACCAAGGCAUUGAUGGUAUAUGCCUUCUCUCAAGAUAUGUGGUAUUUGUGGUAUGAGGCAUAGUGACAUUGCCUUCUCUCUCACCCUACUCUAAUAAGGCUUUAAUAUCUGGAGCUCAUAGGUGGGAGAUAAAAUAUACAUACUUACAAGACAUUUAUUGCAUAGUCAAACCAUGGAUCCAAAGUAACAAGUCAAUAAGUUUAAUCAAGAUGUGCAUGUGUGGCGAAUGAAUGGUAUAUGGUGAUGAUGGUGAUAACAAUGAUGAAAACAAUGGUGGUGGAAGUCUAAUUCUACUUUUGCUCUUUUGAGGGGAUACAUACCUUCCUUGCUUUUGAAACUUUAUGAGGAGAAUGAGAUGCUCUUCUUUUUCUUGUCUCUCAGGUGGGUAUCUUGCACCCCUAAUUCUACUGUCGAACACUUGUCCAUUUUUACCUCUCGUCUCACUUUUUCUUUUCUUUCGAGGUUCCGAGCACUUGCUCCUUUUUAUUUCCUCAUAUUAUUUCCCCUUUUUUUUUCAGAGCAUUCAUCUCUUGAGAUAAUAUAGCAAGUGGUAGUAACAAGAUAACUUGAGCAUUUAUUUCACAAGGAAAAAUAGAAAUGUUUUUGGUUAUUCUCUCCCGGAUUAGUAGUAGAAUAUUUUUAGGUGGCUCUGGAGAUGGAAAUGAGUGGAUGUGUGUGGAUGCGUACUUCCAGAGUAGAAGUAGCAUAUAUGAGUGAACGUGCAAGUGAAAUCUUGAUUUAACCACAUGACAAGCUCCUAAGGGUCUUCACAGCUUGACCACACUCAAUGCUCAUAAGUAGUAAAUAGUAAAUGUGUGGCUCAAAGUCUAGCAAGCAUGCAUAUAUGGCUGUGGUAGGAAUUUAAGCUCUCAUCAUACAGGAACUCAUCAUGCAACAUUUUAAAGAUUUUCAAAGAUAAAAUUCUCUAGAAUUCUAGCAUCUCUAGGAACAGAUAAACAACAGCUCAACCUUCUCAUAUCAUAUCCGUUAACAACUUAGACUUCAGAUCAAGUUUUCAUCCCACAAGUUU